rnacentral:rRNA from 1 species
AGUGGGGAAUAUUGCGCAAUGGGGGAAACCCUGACGCAGCGACGCCGCGUGAGCGAAGAAGGCCUUAGGGUUGUAAAGCUCUGUUCUAUGGGACGAAGUCCUUGACUGUGAAUAAUGGUCAAGGUUGACGGUACCAUAGGAGGAAGCCCCGGCUAACUACGUGCCAGCAGCCGCGGUAAGACGUAGGGGGCGAGCGUUGUCCGGAAUUACUGGGCGUAAAGAGCACGUAGGCGGGACCUUAAGUCAGGUGUGAAAGACCGGGGCCUAACCCCGGGGUGGCACUUGAAACUGGGGUUCUUGAGGGCAGGAGAGGACAGUAGAAUUCCUGGUGUAGCGGUGAAAUGCGUAGAAAUCAGGAGGAAUACCAGUGGCGAAGGCGACUGUCUGGACUGACCCUGACGCUGAGGUGCGAAAGCGUGGGUAGCAAACAGGAUUAGAUACCCUGGUAGUCCACGCUGUAAACGAUGGAUACUAGGUGUGGGAGGUAUCGACCCCUUCCGUGCCGGAGCUAACGCAAUAA